UACGAAGGGAGCUAGCGUUGUUCGGAAUCACUGGGCGUAAAGCGCACGUAGGCGGAUUUGUCAGUCAGGGGUGAAAUCCCGGGGCUCAACCUCGGAACUGCCUUUGAUACAGCAAGUCUUGAGUUCGAGAGAGGUGGGUGGAAUUCCUAGUGUAGAGGUGAAAUGCGCAGAUAUCGGGAAGAACACCCGUGGCGAAGGCGGCUCUCUGGGACGGUACCGACGCUGAGACGCGAAAGCGUGGGGAGCGAACAGG
rnacentral:rRNA from 1 species